rnacentral:lncRNA from 1 species
UCUAAGAGUCAAUCCUGGAGUGACGUGAGUAGCAGAAUGCCAAGUCUAUGAGUCGCUUGAUAACUACUGGACAUGCACAUGAGAAUAUGACGAGGAUGGUGCCUUAGAAUGGGGAUUCUCAAUCUGAGUAACAGUGGGAACAAUUACCAUAUAACUAUUGAAGUGUUUAACUAGCCAGUAUUUUAAAAAAUACUUACUACAUCCUCAGCAUAGUCACUGAAGAAAACUAGGGAUCCAAGAAAAACAUACCAUUUAAAAAUAAUUGGUA